rnacentral:rRNA from 1 species
CCUACGGGAGGCAGCAGUGGGGAAUAUUGGGCAAUGGGCGCAAGCCUGACCCAGCAACGCCGCGUGAAGGAAGAAGGCUUUCGGGUUGUAAACUUCUUUUCUCAGGGACGAAGAAAGUGACGGUACCUGAGGAAUAAGCCACGGCUAACUACGUGCCAGCAGCCGCGGUAAUACGUAGGUGGCAAGCGUUAUCCGGAUUUAUUGGGUGUAAAGGGCGUGUAGGCGGGAGCGCAAGUCAGAUGUGAAAACUCAGGGCUCAACCCUGAGCCUGCAUUUGAAACUGUGUUUCUUGAGUGCUGGGGAGGCAAUCGGAAUUCCGUGUGUAGCGGUGAAAUGCGUAGAUAUACGGAGGAACACCAGUGGCGAAGGCGGAUUGUUGGACAGUAACUGACGCUGGGGCGCGAAAGCGUGGGGAGAAAACAGGAUUAGAUACCCGGGUAGUC